UGUGGCUUAAUUUGACUCAACGCGGGAAAUCUUACCGGGUCCGGACACACUGAGGAUUGACAGGCAAUAUUAAUACGUGUUCGCACGUAUUAUGUUAAAUAUGCUAGUCCUUUCAUGAUUAUGUGAUAGGUGGUGCAUGGCCGUUCUUAGUUCGUGGAGUGAUCUGUCUGCUUAAUUGCGUUUCACUAAGGGCCUAUAAAUUUACGUGUGUUGCGGCACUUUGACCCCUUUCUUCGGAAAGCGCGUGUCUUAGUUUGCUUUGCUCACACAAUUAGGUCCUGAAAGCAACGAACGUGACCGCAACCUCUUGUUGCCUUUAUACCAAACAUGUUUGACAUUUUUAUGGCAUUCAUGAAAAAAGGCUUUUUAAACUAGAGGGACCGCUGUUACUUUCUUAAACCAGAGGAAGGUUGCGGCAAUAACAGGUCUGUGAUGCCCUUAGAUGUUCCGGGCUGCACACGUGCUACAAUGAUUAUUGCAGUGAGCAUCUCAUUUUUACACACCGCAUGCGCGAGUCCAUUUAUUCACUUCGGUGCUUUAAAUGUGUAUUUCUGCGCGCGGUAAAGCCUGCUUCGAAAGUAAGUGGGUAAUCAAUUAGAAGUAAUGAUUUCCUUUUUAGCACACAUAUAUACGGCGUCUAUACCCGGGUUACCUUGUUGUAACUUUUGUGUGUAUAGAUGUUUUUUCCGUAUGUGCGAUUGUCAAUUCAUGGUGGGGACAGACCAUUGUUAAUUGUUGGUCUCGGUCUUAACUAGGAAUGCCUUGUACGGGUCUUUGGUUCAACAAACCACCCGGAAUACGUCCCUGCCCUUUGUACACACCGCCCGUCGCUCUUACCGAUGGACUUCUCUGUGAGUUUGAGGGACUGGGAACGCAAAUUUAUUCUGCACACCUAUGGAAACUUAAACGAACAGUGUGUCUAAAGGAAAGAGAAGUCGUAACAAGGCAUCGGUAGGUGAUCCUG
rnacentral:rRNA from 1 species